rnacentral:rRNA from 1 species
UUAAGCGACUAAGCGUACACGGUGGAUGCCCUGGCAGUCAGAGGCGAUGAAGGACGUGCUAAUCUGCGAUAAGCGUCGGUAAGGUGAUAUGAACCGUUAUAACCGGCGAUUUCCGAAUGGGGAAACCCAGUGUGAUUCGUCACACUAUCAUUAACUGAAUCCAUAGGUUAAUGAGGCGAACCGGGGGAACUGAAACAUCUAAGUACCCCGAGGAAAAGAAAUCAACCGAGAUUCCCCCAGUAGCGGCGAGCGAACGGGGAGGAGCCCAGAGCCUGAAUCAGUGUGUGUGUUAGUGGAAGCGUCUGGAAAGGCGCGCGAUACAGGGUGACAGCCCCGUACACAAAAAUGCACAUGCUGUGAGCUCGAUGAGUAGGGCGGGACACGUGGUAUCCUGUCUGAAUAUGGGGGGACCAUCCUCCAAGGCUAAAUACUCCUGACUGACCGAUAGUGAACCCAGUACCGUGAGGGAAAGGCGAAAAGAACCCCGGCGAGGGGAGUGAAAAAGAACCUGAAACCGUGUACGUACAAGCAGUGGGAGCACAGAGCAAUCUGUGUGACUGCGUACCUUUUGUAUAAUGGGUCAGCGACUUAUAUUCUGUAGCAAGGUUAACCGAAUAGGGGAGCCGAAGGGAAACCGAGUCUUAACUGGGCGUUAAGUUGCAGGGUAUAGACCCGAAACCCGGUGAUCUAGCCAUGGGCAGGUUGAAGGUUGGGUAACACUAACUGGAGGACCGAACCGACUAAUGUUGAAAAAUUAGCGGAUGACUUGUGGCUGGGGGUGAAAGGCCAAUCAAACCGGGAGAUAGCUGGUUCUCCCCGAAAGCUAUUUAGGUAGCGCCUCGUGAAUUCAUCUCCGGGGGUAGAGCACUGUUUCGGCAAGGGGGUCAUCCCGACUUACCAACCCGAUGCAAACUGCGAAUACCGGAGAAUGUUAUCACGGGAGACACACGGCGGGUGCUAACGUCCGUCGUGAAGAGGGAAACAACCCAGACCGCCAGCUAAGGUCCCAAAGUCAUGGUUAAGUGGGAAACGAUGUGGGAAGGCCCAGACAGCCAGGAUGUUGGCUUAGAAGCAGCCAUCAUUUAAAGAAAGCGUAAUAGCUCACUGGUCGAGUCGGCCUGCGCGGAAGAUGUAACGGGGCUAAACCAUGCACCGAAGCUGCGGCAGCGACACUGUGUGUUGUUGGGUAGGGGAGCGUUCUGUAAGCCUGUGAAGGUGUGCUGUGAGGCAUGCUGGAGGUAUCAGAAGUGCGAAUGCUGACAUAAGUAACGAUAAAGCGGGUGAAAAGCCCGCUCGCCGGAAGACCAAGGGUUCCUGUCCAACGUUAAUCGGGGCAGGGUGAGUCGACCCCUAAGGCGAGGCCGAAAGGCGUAGUCGAUGGGAAACAGGUUAAUAUUCCUGUACUUGGUGUUACUGCGAAGGGGGGACGGAGAAGGCUAUGUUGGCCGGGCGACGGUUGUCCCGGUUUAAGCGUGUAGGCUGGUUUUCCAGGCAAAUCCGGAAAAUCAAGGCUGAGGCGUGAUGACGAGGCACUACGGUGCUGAAGCAACAAAUGCCCUGCUUCCAGGAAAAGCCUCUAAGCAUCAGGUAACAUCAAAUCGUACCCCAAACCGACACAGGUGGUCAGGUAGAGAAUACCAAGGCGCUUGAGAGAACUCGGGUGAAGGAACUAGGCAAAAUGGUGCCGUAACUUCGGGAGAAGGCACGCUGAUAUGUAGGUGAAGUCCCUCGCGGAUGGAGCUGAAAUCAGUCGAAGAUACCAGCUGGCUGCAACUGUUUAUUAAAAACACAGCACUGUGCAAACACGAAAGUGGACGUAUACGGUGUGACGCCUGCCCGGUGCCGGAAGGUUAAUUGAUGGGGUCAGCGCAAGCGAAGCUCUUGAUCGAAGCCCCGGUAAACGGCGGCCGUAACUAUAACGGUCCUAAGGUAGCGAAAUUCCUUGUCGGGUAAGUUCCGACCUGCACGAAUGGCGUAAUGAUGGCCAGGCUGUCUCCACCCGAGACUCAGUGAAAUUGAACUCGCUGUGAAGAUGCAGUGUACCCGCGGCAAGACGGAAAGACCCCGUGAACCUUUACUAUAGCUUGACACUGAACAUUGAGCCUUGAUGUGUAGGAUAGGUGGGAGGCUUUGAAGUGUGGACGCCAGUCUGCAUGGAGCCGACCUUGAAAUACCACCCUUUAAUGUUUGAUGUUCUAACGUGGACCCGUGAUCCGGGUUGCGGACAGUGUCUGGUGGGUAGUUUGACUGGGGCGGUCUCCUCCUAAAGAGUAACGGAGGAGCACGAAGGUUGGCUAAUCCUGGUCGGACAUCAGGAGGUUAGUGCAAUGGCAUAAGCCAGCUUGACUGCGAGCGUGACGGCGCGAGCAGGUGCGAAAGCAGGUCAUAGUGAUCCGGUGGUUCUGAAUGGAAGGGCCAUCGCUCAACGGAUAAAAGGUACUCCGGGGAUAACAGGCUGAUACCGCCCAAGAGUUCAUAUCGACGGCGGUGUUUGGCACCUCGAUGUCGGCUCAUCACAUCCUGGGGCUGAAGUAGGUCCCAAGGGUAUGGCUGUUCGCCAUUUAAAGUGGUACGCGAGCUGGGUUUAGAACGUCGUGAGACAGUUCGGUCCCUAUCUGCCGUGGGCGCUGGAGAACUGAGGGGGGCUGCUCCUAGUACGAGAGGACCGGAGUGGACGCAUCACUGGUGUUCGGGUUGUCAUGCCAAUGGCACUGCCCGGUAGCUAAAUGCGGAAGAGAUAAGUGCUGAAAGCAUCUAAGCACGAAACUUGCCCCGAGAUGAGUUCUCCCUGACCCUUUAAGGGUCCUGAAGGAACGUUGAAGACGACGACGUUGAUAGGCAGGGUGUGUAAGCGCAGCGAUGCGUUGAGCUAACCGGUACUAAUGAACCGUGAGGCUUAACCUU